rnacentral:rRNA from 1 species
AGUGAACGCUGGCGGUAGGCCUAACACAUGCAAGUCGAACGGCAGCACAGUAAGAGCUUGCUCUUACGGGUGGCGAGUGGCGGACGGGUGAGGAAUACAUCGGAAUCUACUUUUUCGUGGGGGAUAACGUAGGGAAACUUACGCUAAUACCGCAUACGACCUACGGGUGAAAGCAGGUGAUCUUCGGACCUUGCGCGAUUGAAUGAGCCGAUGUCGGAUUAGCUAGUUGGCGGGGUAAAGGCCCACCAAGGCGACGAUCCGUAGCUGGUCUGCGAGGAUGAUAAGCCACACUGGAACUGAGACACGGUCCAGACUCCUACGGGAGGCAGCAGUGGGGAAUAUUGGACAAAGGGCGCAAGCCUGAUCCAGCCAUACCGCGUGGGUGAAGAAGGCCUUCGGGUUGUAAAGCACUUUUGUUGGGAAAGAAAAGCAGCAGGUUAAUACCCCGCUGUUCUGACGGUACCCAAAGAAUAAGCACCGGCUAACUUCGUG